rnacentral:rRNA from 1 species
AAUGAACGUUGGUGGCGUGGAUUAGGCAUGCAAGUCGAGCGAGAACCCGACUGCGGAGGCUUCGGCCGAAGUAGUUGGGGGAAAGCGGCUAACGGGGUAGUAAUACGUAGGUGACGUACCUCAGGGACUGGGAUAGCCACGGGAAACUGUGGGUAAUACCAGAUGAUCUUUCCGGGCAUGGGCGCCUGGAAUGCAAAAGGUGAGAUUCCGCCCUGAGAGCGGCUUACGCGGUACUAGGUAGUUGGUGAGGUAAUGGCCCACCAAGCCUUAGAUGCCUAGGGGGUGUGAGAGCAUGGCCCCCACCACUGGGACUGAGAUACUGCCCAGACACCGACGGGUGGCUGCAGUCGAGAAUCUUCGGCAAUGGACGCAAGUCUGACCGAGCGACACCACGUGCGGGAUGAAGGCCCUUGGGUUGUAAACCGCUGUCAGAGGGGAUGAAAUUCAUGGAGGCAAUCCUCCAUGAUUGACAAAGCCUCAGAGGAAGCACGGGCUAAGUACGUGCCAGCAGCCGCCGUAAAAC